GGUGCAGCAAUGUGUGGAACGCAACUUCGUCCUGGUGCUACGAUCGGCAAAUCCUUCGAAUUAAAUUAAGAAAAUGUUCAGCGUCUGCAAGUGAACUCUGCAGGUCCACUCCACUUUAAAUGGAAAUUCUCAGCCAGCGUUUGCUCUUGCUGCUGCUCGUAGAAGAUAAUGGAAUCCCCACCUAUGGAUAUCCACCGCCUCGACUAAUAAGAACAAUUUGCAAAGGCCGAGCCGGUGUACCCAACGGUGACGACUGAUGAUCUGGCCAUAAUCGUAUGGGACAAUGUGACAAGUAAGCAAGAAAAUCUAUGCGCCUAAUUCGAACUAAAGUAAGUAAAAUA